CCUACGGGUGGCAGCAGUGAGGAAUAUUGGUCAAUGGACGAGAGUCUGAACCAGCCAAGUAGCGUGAAGGAUGACUGCCCUAUGGGUUGUAAACUUCUUUUAUAUGGGAAUAAAAUGUUCCACGUGUGGGAUUUUGUAUGUACCAUAUGAAUAAGGAUCGGCUAACUCCGUGCCAGCAGCCGCGUUAAUACGGAGGAUCCGAGCGUUAUCCGGAUUUAUUGGGUUUAAAGGGAGCGUAGGUGGAUUGUUAAGUCAGUUGUGAAAGUUUGCGGCUCAACCGUAAAAUUGCAGUUGAAACUGGCAGUCUUGAGUACAGUAGAGGUGGGCGGAAUUCGUGGUGUAGCGGUGAAAUGCUUAGAUAUCACGAAGAACUCCGAUUGCGAAGGCAGUUCACUGGACUGCAACUGACACUGAGGCUCGAAAGUGUGGGUAUCAAACAGGAUUAGAUACCCUAGUAGUC
rnacentral:rRNA from 1 species